UACGUAGGUGGCAAGCGUUGUCCGGAUUUAUUGGGCGUAAAGGGCUCGUAGGCGGUUCGACAAGUCGGGUGUGAAACCUCCAGGCUCAACCUGGAGUCGCCGCUCGAAACUGUUGUGACUAGAGUCCGGUAGAGGAGCAUGGAAUUUGUGGUGUAGCGGUGGAAUGCGCAGAUAUCACAAGGAACACCAGUAGCGAAGGCGAUGCUCUGGGCCGGUACUGACGCUGAGGAGCGAAAGCAUGGGGAGCGAACAGG
rnacentral:rRNA from 1 species